rnacentral:sRNA from 1 species
UACCGUUGUUGGCCAUUGAUUACCGGUA